rnacentral:lncRNA from 1 species
CACAAGAGAAACGGAUCACAGUCAGGGAAAAGUCGCGGUUUCACCCAUGGAGCACGCAGGAGAGAAGCUUGCAGUACAGCGGGGUUCGGGGCUCAGACCAUGGGAGCCUGCAGGACCCGAGCUGUGCCUCAGAGCCGUGCGAGGUCUGGACUCUGCCUCGGGAAUUGGAGUUCUCCGGAGUAAAACCCACGAAGAGCACCACAGGAGGCUGCGGGAUCUGGGGAAGCCCUGCUCCCCGGGAUCCCACGGAGACUUCCAGGAGCGUGGAAUCGAUGGACAGACUGACGGACACAAAGGCCAGGCUCUGGGAGGUCUAGGAUUCCGUGGCCGCCCCGCCUCCCCCAGCCUCCCUCCCCUUCCCCCACUACCUGAGGCUCUGAAGCUUCCCGCUUCCUGGCUGUAACUGAGAUCUGGCAGCUCUCGCUCUGUGCCAAUGACUGGCUGCGUAACCGAACUCAGGCCUCACAUGAGAGACGCUUGCUCUCACAUCGUUCAAGGUGAGCCUACUUAAGGAAACAACUCAAGUCAGAAGAAAUCUUGGCUACUGAAGCUUAGGAUGAGCCAAGCUGGAAACACCUCCAGUCCGUGUUCGAGGCAGCAGAGGGGUCACGUGACCGGCGCACCUCCGCUUCUCCUAGGGCUUCCGUUUUGUUUUGUUUUUUCCCCCCCAAAGCUGUGGGGGUAGAAUGACCCUUUCACAGGGGUCACGUAAGAUAAUCGGAAAACACAGAUACUUAUGUUACAAUUCAUAACAGUAGCAAAAUUACAGUUAUCAAAAAGCAAU